AUGGCCGCCGCCGCCGCCGCCGCCGCCGCCGAGCCCUCCUCCGCCGACAGCCGCCGCUACGUCGUGGGCUACGCGCUCGCGCCCAAGAAGCAGAACAGCUUCAUCAAGCCCUCGCUCAUCUCCCGCGCGGCGGCGCGCGGCGUGGACCUCGUCCCCGUCGACGACGCGCGGCCCCUCGCCGACCAGGGCCCCUUCGACCUCGUCAUCCACAAGCUCUACGGCCACGACUGGCGCGCCCAGCUCCAGGCCUUCUCCGCCCGCUACCCCUCCGUCCCCGUCGUCGACCCGCCCCACGCCAUCGACCGCCUCCACAACCGCAUCUCCAUGCUCCAGGUCGUCUCCGAGCUCGACGUCCCGCUCACCGACGCCGCCUCCGCCUCCGCUGACGGCGAAGGCCACCGCCACACCUUCGGCAUCCCCAGCCAGGUCGUCGUCUACGACGCCGCCGCGCUCGCCGACUCGGGCCUCCUCGCCGCGCUCCGCUUCCCGCUCAUCGCCAAGCCCCUCGUCGCCGACGGCAGCGCCAAGUCGCACAAGAUGUCCCUCGUCUACCACCGAGAGGGGCUCCGCAAGCUCCGCCCGCCGCUCGUCCUGCAGGAGUUCGUCAACCACGGCGGCGUCAUAUUCAAGGUUUACGUCGUCGGCGGCCACGUCACCUGCGUCAAGCGCCGCAGCCUACCGGACGUCUCCAAGGAGAUCCUCGAGGACGCCGCCGCCGAGGGCACCAUCUCCUUCUCGCAGGUAUCCAAUCUCCCCAAUCAGCGCACGGCCGAGGAGUACUACGAGGACAUGCGGCUCGAGGACGCCGUCAUGCCGCCCACUGAUUUCGUCAACGAGAUCGCAGGCGGGCUCCGCCGUGCCCUGGGCCUGCAGCUCUUCAACUUCGACAUGAUCCGGGAUGUUCGUGCCGGGAACCGGUAUCUCGUCAUUGACAUCAACUACUUCCCCGGUUACGCGAAGAUGCCCGGCUACGAGAUUGUCCUUACUGAUUUCUUCUGGGAUAUGGUUCACAAGGACGACGUGGCCCUCAAGGAGGAGGAGCAGCAGAGCAAUCAUGCUGUUGUGAAAUGA
rnacentral:rRNA from 1 species